rnacentral:rRNA from 1 species
GGGUGAGUAACACGUGAGUAACCUGCCCUUAACUCUGGGAUAAGCCUGGGAAACUGGGUCUAAUACCGGAUAGGAGCGUCCACCGCAUGGUGGGUGUUGGAAAGAUUUAUCGGUUUUGGAUGGACUCGCGGCCUAUCAGCUUGUUGGUGAGGUAAUGGCUCACCAAGGCGACGACGGGUAGCCGGCCUGAGAGGGUGACCGGCCACACUGGGACUGAGACACGGCCCAGACUCCUACGGGAGGCAGCAGUGGGGAAUAUUGCACAAUGGGCGCAAGCCUGAUGCAGCGACGCCGCGUGAGGGAUGACGGCCUUCGGGUUGUAAACCUCUUUCAGUAGGGAAGAAGCGAAAGUGACGGUACCUGCAGAAGAAGCACCGGCUAACUACGUGCCAGCAGCCGCGGUAAUACGUAGGGUGCGAGCGUUAUCCGGAAUUAUUGGGCGUAAAGAGCUCGUAGGCGGUUUGUCGCGUCUGUCGUGAAAGUCCGGGGCUUAACCCCGGAUCUGCGGUGGGUACGGGCAGACUAGAGUGCAGUAGGGGAGACUGGAAUUCCUGGUGUAGCGGUGGAAUGCGCAGAUAUCAGGAGGAACACCGAUGGCGAAGGCAGGUCUCUGGGCUGUAACUGACGCUGAGGAGCGAAAGCAUGGGGAG